rnacentral:rRNA from 1 species
AUUGAACGCUGGCGGCAGGCCUAACACAUGCAAGUCGAGCGGAGCGGCGGACGGGUGAGUAAUGCCUAGGAAUCUGCAUGGUAGUGGGGGAUAACGUCCGGAAACGGGCGCUAAUAUCGCAUACUAUCAGAUGAGCCUAGGUCGGAUUAGCUAGUUGGUGGGGUAAAGGCCUACCAAGGCGACGAUCCGUAACUGGUUUGAGAGGAUGAGCAGUCACACGGUAACUGAGAAACGUUCCAGACGACUCCGGGAGGCAGCAGUGGGGAGUAUUGGACAAUGGGCGAAAGCCUGAUCCAGCCAUGCCGCGUGUGUGAAGAAGGUCUUCGGAUUGUAAAGCACUUUAAGUUGGGAGGCGUGACCAACAGAAUAAGCACCGGCUAACGUCGUGCCAGCAGCCGCGGUAAUUC